GACGAACGCUGGCGGCGUGCCUAAUACAUGCAAGUGGGACGCAAGGAAACACACUGUGCUUGCACACCGUGUUUUCUUGAGUCGCGAACGGGUGAGUAACGCGUAGGUAACCUGCCUAUUAGCGGGGGAUAACUAUUGGAAACGAUAGCUAAUACCGCAUAAUAUUAAUUAUUGCAUGAUAAUUGAUUGAAAGAUGCAAGCGCAUCACUAGUAGAUGGACCUGCGUUGUAUUAGCUAGUUGGUAAGGUAAGAGCUCACCAAGGCGACGAUACAUAGCCGACCUGAGAGGGUGAUCGGCCACACUGGGACUGAGACACGGCCCAGACUCCUACGGGAGGCAGCAGUAGGGAAUCUUCGGCAAUGGACGAAAGUCUGACCGAGCAACGCCGCGUGAGUGAAGAAGGUUUUCGGAUCGUAAAGCUCUGUUGUAAGUCAAGAACGUGUGUGAGAGUGGAAACG
rnacentral:rRNA from 1 species